rnacentral:rRNA from 1 species
UACGUAGGGGGCUAGCGUUGUCCGGAAUCAUUGGGCGUAAAGGGCGCGUAGGCGGUCACGCACGUCCGUUGUGAAAUCGCUCGGCUCAACUGGGCGGGGUCAGCGGAUACGGCGUGGCUGGAGCAAGCUAGGGGGCAAUGGAAUUCCCGGUGUAGUGGUGGAAUGCGUAGAUAUCGGGAGGAACACCAGUGGCGAAGGCGGUUGCCUGGAGCUUUGCUGACGCUGAUGCGCGAAAGCGUGGGGAGCGAUCCGG